rnacentral:rRNA from 1 species
CAAUAGCGUAUAUUAAAGUUGUUGCAGUUAAAAAGCUCGUAGUUGGAUCUGUGGUGUGCGGUGGGCUCCGGGCACUUGUUGUCUGAGUAGCUCGCCGCUGCCAUCCUUGGGUGGAACCUGUGUGGCAUUAGGUUGUCGUGCAGGGGAUGCCCAUCGUUUACUGUGAAAAAAUUAGAGUGUUCAAAGCAGGCUUAUGCCGUUGAAUAUAUUAGCAUGGAAUAAUGAGAUAGGACUUUUUCGCUAUUUUGUUGGUUUGCGCGAAGAGGUAAUGAUUAAUAGGGACAGUUGGGGGUAUUCGUAUUCAAUUGUCAGAGGUGAAAUUCUUGGAUUUUUGGAAGACGAACUACUGCGAAAGCAUUUACCAAGGAUGUUUUCAUUAA